rnacentral:rRNA from 1 species
GUGGGGAAUCUUCCGCAAUGGACGAAAGUCUGACGGAGCAACGCCGCGUGAGUGAUGAAGGUUUUCGGACUGUAAAGCUCUGUUGUUUAGGACGAAAGUGCCUGUUGCGAACAGUUACAGGUAUUGACGGUACUAAACGAGGAAGCCACGGCUAACUACGUGCCAGCAGCCGCGGUAAUACGUAGGUGGCAAGCGUUGUCCGGAAUUAUUGGGCGUAAAGAGCAUGUAGGCGGAGAUUUAAGUCUGUUGUGAAAAUGCGGGGCUCAACCCCGUAUUGCGAUGGAAACCGAAUUUCUUGAGUGCAGGAGAGGAAAGGGGAAUUCCCAGUGUAGCGGUGAAAUGCGUAGAUAUUGGGAGGAACACCAGUGGCGAAGGCGCCUUUCUGGACUGUGUCUGACGCUGAGAUGCGAAAGCCAGGGUAGCGAACGGGAUUAGAUACCCCGGUAGUCC